UACGAAGGGGGCGAGCGUUGUUCGGAAUCACUGGGCGUAAAGCGUGCGUAGGUGGCGAUGAAAGUUAGGAGUGAAAGCCCAGGGCUCAACCUUGGAAUUGCUCUUAAAACUACAUUGCUCGAAUCUCGGAGAGGAUAGCGGAAUUGUCAGUGUAGCAGUGAAAUGCGUAGAUAUUGACAGGAACACCAGUGGCGUAAGCGGCUAUCUGGACGAGUAUUGACACUGAGGCACGAAAAGCGUGGGGGAUCAAACAGGAUUAGAAAACCCCGGAGUAGUCCAGACCCAAAGUCUCUGCUAACCCGUUAA
rnacentral:rRNA from 1 species